UCGUUCUUUGGGCUAUCUGAUUUGGGGAUCCUCCAAUUGGGCUUCACUCCUUGGGCUGUCCGAUUUGGGCUGAAUUUUUAUGUGUCAACAAUUACCCCCCAAUAUGGCAGAAUUAAUAAUAAUUAUUGAAUUUUGCCAUAUUCACUUUGUGUUUCCAGCAACAUUCGAAAUUUCCAAAAAUUUCAAUCAUUGUUUCCUUCUAUAACUUGAAAAAGUGCGUCGUUUUGCAAACCCUUAUAAACCCCAAACACGCCAUUUCACUGCCACCAAACCACGCCUCAUAUUUUUUGCGUCUCUUUCACGAUUCACUGUUCAUCUUUUGCUUCCCUGCUACGUAACCCUGAAAAGCUUCGUUCCUUCUCAAAUGGCUGCUUCACAAUCUCAAGCUAGCGAUUCCUUUAGUU
rnacentral:lncRNA from 1 species